rnacentral:rRNA from 1 species
GCAUAUCAAUAAGCGGAGGAAAAGAAACUAACAAGGAUUCCCCUAGUAACGGCGAAGUGAAGCGGGAAGAGCUCAAAUUUAAAAUCUGGCGGUGUAUUCCGUCCGAGUUGUAGUCUAGAGAAGCAUCAUCCGCGCUGGACCAUGUACAAGUCUCUUGGAAUAGAGCGUCAUAGAGGGUGAGAAUCCCGUCCUUGACAUGGACUCCCAGUGCUUUGUGUUGUGCUCUCAACGAGUCGAGUUGUUUGGGAAUGCAGCUCAAAAUGGGUGGUAAAUUCCAUCUAAAGCUAAAUAUUGGCGAGAGACCGAUAGCGAACAAGUACCGUGAGGGAAAGAUGAAAAGCACUUUGGAGAGAGAGUUAAACAGUACGUGAAAUUGUUGAAAUGGAAACGCUUGAAGUCAGUCGCGUUCUCUGGGAUUCAGCCUUGCUUCUGCUUGGUGCAUUUCCUAGUCUACGGGCCAGCAUGAAUUUUGACCGUUGGAAAAAGGCAGGGGGAAUGUGGCACCUCCGGGUGUGUUAUAGCCCCUUGUCACACACUGCGGUUGGGAUUGAGGAUUCAGUGCACGCUUUUGUUGUGCUUUGAUGCUGGCGUAAUGGCUUUAAACGACCCGUCUUGAAACACGGACCAAGGAGUCUAACAUGUCUGCGAGUGUUUGGGUGUUAAACCCAUGCGCGUAAUGAAAGUGAAAGUUGGGAACCUUUUAGGGGCACCGACGCCCGGACCAGACCUUCUGUGACGGAUCCGAGGUAGAGCAUAUAUGUUGGGACCCGAAAGAUGGUGAACUAUGCCUGCAUAGGGUGAAGCCAGAGGAAACUCUGGUGGAGGCUCGUAGCGAUUCUGACGUGCAAAUCGAUCGUCAAAUGUGGGUAUAGGGGCGAAAGACUAAUCGAACCAUCUAGUAGCUGGGUCCUGC